ensembl:lncRNA
GUUGCAAAGAAUUAAUUGGACAUGAUUGAGCACUAAGCAACAACUUCAAGCUGGAAAACAACCCAGAGCACACUCAUUCCCCCGAUGCAGGAAGCCCAGGCUCCUGCAGGCAUCCUCUUGCGAGCGUCUGGGUGCUGCUAGCUUUCCCCACUCCCAGCCUCUCCCCUGGCCUGUCUGUACCCUCCCACUCCAGUGAUGAGAAACUUGGCUCCCAGGAUCUGCCAUCCGUGUGUCUAACCCUUCAGCUUCAGAUUUCACGACUCAGGGCUUCAUUUCCCAUACUCCGACAGGUAACAACUGUCUUAUUAUCUCAGGAUUCCAUUACAG